AGUGAACGCUGCGGUAGGCCUAACACAUGCAAGUCGAACGGCAGCACUGUAAGAGCUUGCUCUUACGGGUGGCGAGUGGCGGACGGGUGAGGAAUACAUCGGAAUCUACUUUUUCGUGGGGGAUAACGUAGGGAAACUUACGCUAAUACCGCAUACGACCUACGGGUGAAAGCAGGGGAUCUUCGGACCUUGCGCGAUUGAAUGAGCCGAUGUCGGAUUAGCUAGUUGGCGGGGUAAAGGCCCACCAAGGCGACGAUCCGUAGCUGGUCUGAGAGGAUGAUCAGCCACACUGGAACUGAGACACGGUCCUGACUCCUACGGGAGGCAGCAGUGGGGAAUAUUGGACAAUGGGCGAAAGCCUGAUCCAGCCAUACCGCGUGGGUGAAGAAGGCCUUCGGGUUGUAAAGCCCUUUUGUUGGGAAAGAAAAGCAGCAGGUUAAUACCCCGCUGUUCUGACGGUACCCAAAGAAUAAGCACCGGCUAACUUCGUG
rnacentral:rRNA from 1 species